GGGGCCGACCUGGUUUCGACGUGUCUGGUGAAGUCGGCGCUGCGUGCCGAGGUGGCCGUCACCUCGUUAAUCCGCGGCAACAAUUCACAACUGCCAACGAUAACCUGGCACUGGCUGCGUAACUAAACCUUACGCACCUGUCUCCGGAUCGACCCGGCCCGAGGUGGGCCCGGAGGCAACGACAAAUCGGGCUGGUCCGUGUGUGCCGCGCCGUCGCGCACGGAUGAGAAUCAACGGGGCUGGUCCGGAAGAGGCCGUCCGCGAGCCGACGACCGGAUGAGACGAUGAAGAGCGGAACACGCACGUAGACGCGCUGAAGGAUCCAUUCGCGGACGCGGGUUCGAUUCCCGCCGGCUCCAUGU
rnacentral:tmRNA from 1 species